GCAAGUCCAUUUCGUACCAAUGUUAUCCGUUGCCUAUUCUUUCCCCACCGUUCCAGUGUCUUGGAAUUGUGCAGUAAGAGGGUUAUUGGCAGGUGUUUAGUAUCACCAGCUAAAGAGUGGGCCAGGAAUCCUCCAAUAUUUCCCACACCUAUAAUGUGUAUUCGCGACGGUAUUCUCUGUUCGUGAAGCGGACGCUGAGGUUUGGCGGAAUCAUCAUGGGACUGCUUGAGUGUGGUAUGAAAGAGCCGGAAGGAAACUGAGCGUAUCCGGAUAGCAUCAGGGCAUCUUGCGAAGAGCCGGAUGGUAGUGAGGCCGACCUGCAUAUUGACUGCUGCUAUGCCUGAAAUAUUUAGCUUGCACCAGGCGUGGAGUGUUUGGUGGU
rnacentral:sRNA from 1 species